ACCUGGUUGAUCCUGCCAGUAGUCAUAUGCUUGUCUCAAAGAUUAAGCCAUGCAUGUCUAAGUAUAAACGCCUUAUACUGUGAAACUGCGAAUGGCUCAUUAAAUCAGUUAUAGUUUAUUUGAUAGUACCUUUACUACAUGGAUAACCGUGGUAAUUCUAGAGCUAAUACAUGCGAAAAAUCCCGACUUCUGGAAGGGAUGUAUUUAUUAGAUAAAAAACCAACCGGGGCAACCCGUCUUUUGCUUGGUGAUUCAUAAUAACUUCUCGAAUCGUAUGGCUUCUACGCUGACGAUGGUUCAUUCAAAUUUCUGCCCUAUCAACUUUCGAUGGUAAUGUAGUGGAUUACCAUGGUUGUAACGGGUAACGGAGAAUUAGGGUUCGGUUCCGGAGAGGGAGCAUGAGAAACGGCUACCACAUCUAAGGAAGGCAGCAGGCGCGCAAAUUACCCAAUCCCGACACGGGGAGGUAGUGACAAGAAAUAACAAUACAGGGUCCUAAACGGUCUUGUAAUUGGAAUGAGUACAAUUUAAACCCCUUAACGAGGAACAAUUGGAGGGCAAGUCUGGUGCCAGCAGCCGCGGUAAUUCCAGCUCCAAUAGCGUAUAUUAAUGUUGUUGCAGUUAAAAAGCUCGUAGUUGGAUUUUGGGCUUGUUCAGCCGGUCGCACCGCAAGGUGUGUCGUGGGGGUGGG
rnacentral:rRNA from 1 species